rnacentral:lncRNA from 1 species
UUAGACAUCACUUCAGGAUGGCCAUAUGCUAUUUCUUUCUCUUUUAGGUCAUCUUCUCUUAGAGGAAGAGGAACAACAGAAUGCAGGGCAGCUCAGAGGCAGAAAUCCUAAAGCAGCUGAAAGGCAUCAUUCUACACCAAUGGCUGCAGAACAAGGAUUGGAAAAAGUGAUACAUAGACAUGCUCCCAACUUCAGCUGAAGACAAGAAGUAAAAAAAAUGCCUGUGGUGACAGAAUAGAAGAAAGGACCUCUGAAGAUGACAUGCUGCAAGUAAGAAGUAUGAAGUGGAACAUAAACUGGCAAUAGCAGCUGAAGUUAUGGAGCACCCAAAACUUAUAGAACAUGAAAAAAUGGACAAGAUUUAUAUAUUUCAUUCAGUCAUUAUAUGGCCUAUUUUUGGUAUUGUCAUAUACCAUAGGCUUUAAACUCAAACUACAAGAGAAUAUCAGCAGCAGCUAUUCCAAUUGGUCCAGUAAACUAUACAACUUCUCCCUAAGAAAUCUGCUUAUUAACCAACAAAAUUGGAUACUUCGAGAGUCAAAAUCCUUCCUGACAAUUCCCCGCCUGCCCUGCCAUCCUCCUGGCUGGGCACGGGUCCCGUGUCCUCUGUUAUGCAGAGAAUCAGCCCUCCAAGGCCUCCCCCAGCAUCCAGAGCUCCUGUGCAGCUCACACUGGAGCUGCUCAUCGCUCUCUGGGUAAUUCCAGCAGAGGAAGAUUGCAACCAUCAAUUCAAGAAACUCACCCACUCAAAGGAAGAGAAAGACAUGAAGGAAGAGAGCAUGGAACUAAUUAGCAUGAGAAGUGAGAGGAUCAUUCAACCAGUAGAAAACUAAUUAAUAAGGAAACUAGAUAACUUUGUAGCUAAUGAACCGUGAUUUUUUUUUUUUUUUUUUUUUUUUUUUUUUGUUGGAAUGUAUGAAGUGCAAAGUUUUGAGAAUCAGCAUGCGAGUUUUGUGGAUUUAGCAACUAGU